rnacentral:rRNA from 1 species
GAUGAACGCUAGCUACAGACUUAACACAUGCAAGUCGAGGGGCAGCGGGAUUGAAGCUUGCUUCAAUUGCCGGCGACCGGCGCACGGGUGAGUAACGCGUAUCCAACCUUCCGCUUACUCGGGGAUAGCCUUUCGAAAGAAAGAUUAAUACCCGAUGGUAUCUUAAGCACGCAUGAGAUUAAGAUUAAAGAUUUAUCGGUAAGCGAUGGGGAUGCGUUCCGUUAGGCAGUUGGCGGGGUAACGGCCCACCAAACCUACGAUGGAUAGGGGUUCUGAGAGGAAGGUCCCCCACAUUGGAACUGAGACACGGUCCAAACUCCUACGGGAGGCAGCAGUGAGGAAUAUUGGUCAAUGGGCGAGAGCCUGAACCAGCCAAGUAGCGUGAAGGAUGACGGCCCUACGGGUUGUAAACUUCUUUUGUGCGGGAAUAAAGGAACCUACGUGUAGGUUUUUGCAUGUACCGUAACGAAUAAGCAUCGGCUAACUCCGUGCCAGCCGCCGCGGUAA